CCAGCAGGAAGUGAUGUAAUAUCAAGGGAGCUAUAAAGGGAUGCCCCUAUAUUGCCUCUCAUUCUGUAGUUGGUAUUCAAUGAGGUUGCACUUGUUCCUGUAAAAAGGAAUAGUUUCGUUCAGGAUUUGAAAUUUUCCUAAGUUCUCUGUUUGGUGACAUGUAUAAACAGAGGUAGACUAUAAGGUUCCACCAUUCUUGAUUGAAAAUAGGGAACGUAACAUCAUCUAAUUUCAACCAAAUUUAUAUAUAUUUUUUUGAAGUCUAUCUAGAUAUUAUAUUUAUCGAAUUGAAUAUGUGAUUGGAUGUAAUCAUUGGAUAUUCUAAACCUUUCUAAUCAAUGGUAUUCACUCCUACUAUAAGAACUGAUUCCAAACCCCUGAUGAAGUCCUAACGGACGAAACGCGUUGGGUUUUGCAACGUCUGGUUAACAAAGUCCUUAUCACAAACAUCUGGUUGGAGAUACAUCCAUUUCGAGUUCUGACUGUGAUCACCUGGCUGUAAAAUCCUCACAUCCAACUGUAAUUUAUGUAUAAGAUUGUAAUAUUGUUUUAUAUGAAUUUUUAGAAGGUUGUGUCAAUAACGAACGCUUAGGAUAAAU